CUGCUGCCUCCCGUAGGAGUUUGGACCGUGUCUCAGUUCCAAUGUGGGGGACCUUCCUCUCAGAACCCCUACGCAUCGUCGGCUUGGUGGGCCGUUGCCCCACCAACUACCUAAUGCGCCGCAUGCCCAUCCGUGACCGGGGUCGCCCCCUUUGGCCGGCAGGGGAUGUCCCCUCCCGGCAUUAUGUUGUAUUAGGCGGGAUUUCUCCCGGUUAUCCAUCUGUCACGGCCAGGUUGCAUACGUGUUACUCACCCGUGCACCGGUCGCCGGCGG
rnacentral:rRNA from 1 species